rnacentral:lncRNA from 1 species
UAAAAAGAAAAUCAAAUCCUUUUAUAUUUCUCUACAGUCAGAUAUGUAUGACAACCUAUUUAGUACAUAAUUCUCUGUAAGAUAGGUGUUAGAUAAGAUUUUCACACUGGAAAAUGUGAGAAACAUGUAAUAUAUUUGAUUCAUUUAAAUCAAUUUAUACGAGAAAACACUUUUAUUUAAGGAUGUUUGCUUGUCAUGUUUCAGAAUUUUUGUCAGAUUUUUCGAAAAUCCUCUGGUUUUAUCCAUUUGAAUACCUUAAAAAAAUUUGCCCAUGGACCCCCAUUUUUCUUUUUAUAAAUCUUUUACAGGUAUAAUUAUAAGCCAUUUGUAAAAGUCUUAUAAAAUCUUAUUUAUUUUUUAAUAGUUUUUAAGAAUUUUAACUUGUCAAUG